CACACAGCACAACACUGUAACAGUUUGCUCUCGCUGCAACCUCUGUUUAUUUGCCUGUUCUGUUCAACUAAGGGCAAAGUACAUGACACAGGAGCUAUAUUGCUUGUUAAUAUCAACAUUUCAMAGCGGUUACUGGAGGAGAUGAGGACAUCCUUUAGUUUAUAGUAUUUUGUAGCUGCUACAAAACAGGGGUGAGUCUUUAAAAGUGAAAGUAAACUGCUUCCUUAAGGCAUUACAAAAGAGGGAGAGAAGUGUGACAGAGAGAAAAUGGCCUCCAGAUUGUCUCUCCCAGAAGAGGAUCUUUCCUGUCCUGUAUGCUUAAACACCUUCAGUGAUCCUGUCAUCUUAUUAUGUAGCCACAGCUUCUGUAAAGCCUGUCUGCAGUAGUGCUGUAGACAGAGACUAUUGCAGGAAUGUCCAGUUUGUAGGGAAGUAUUUUCAAUGGGUAAUCCUUCCUGUAACCGGGCUCUAAAGWACCUGUGUGAGGCUGUCUUAAAGGAAAUAAGUCAGAGAGCUUCAGGAGGGUCUGGGGUUCUCUGCAGUCUGCAUAGUGAGAAAUUCAAGCUCUUCUGUUUGGAGGAUAAAGAGCUCAUCUGUUUGGUGUGUCGUGAUUCAAGGAAGCAUAAAAAGCAUGCCUGCAUCCCCAUACAGAAAGCUGUACAGYAACAUAAGGUUGGAUAGAUUGUUUUUCCGGAUCCAAGCCCAGGAUACAGAGAGGCAGAUUAAGGGGCAGUUUAAAAAGCUGUACCUGUUUUUGCAAGAGGAAGAUAGACGGAUAGAUGCAUUGAGAAUGGAAGAGGUGCGGAAGAGUCAGGUGAUGAAACAAGAUAACAGAGAUGAGCAGAGAGAUAUCAUCACUUUCAUACACAAUCAAAGCCACCGAACAACAGCUGAGCAUUGAAGACAUCUCAUUCUUGCAGAACUACAAGGCCACAGAGACCAGAGCCAAGCAAACACUGCCAGAUCCAAAGAGGGUUUCAGGAGCGCUGAUAGACGUGGCCAAACACCUGGGAAACCUGCAGUUAAGAGUCAGGGAGAAGAUGAAAGGGAUGGUCCAAUACUGUAAAUACUGUAACGACCCUGGGUUUAUAAYCGCGGAAAUCGAUUGCGCAAUUGUUGAUAGAAUAACCAUCAUGUCGAGGUAAAUGUGCGGUCACGCGAUGCUAUGUUGUGUGGUCCUUCCAGUGCGACUUMGAAAAGCAUYRACAGUUUAGGCUACGGGAUGAUGAAAGUACACAGUGAUGACCUUGAUGCUGCUUUCCAAUAAAAAUGUAGGGUAUUAUUUGUAUGCUAGUGACAUAAUGAUCUUGCUUUCAUCCAUCUCAUCAUAUAGCCUAUAUGUCCAGUGUACGCUUUAUCAGCGAACUGUUGUCUAAAGAGCAUGUGCGAAAACCAGAUUGGGCAAGUUUGCCAUUUAUCGCGACAGUUUGUGGCAAAACUAUCGGUAGAGUGGAAAAUACAAUGGUAACACAUUAAACUCGUGUUUUUUAUUCAGUAUAUGACGUAAGCACAAAAGUGUUUUUGAUGUGCAGGUCAUAACGCACAGCCUUUGAACCGCAACAAAGUCAGGGGGCGUUCCUCUGCCCAGGUGUUGUUGAUGGAUGCCAAAUCUUACAACAGCUGGAUAGGUAUUGUAAGUAUCAGCUAACCAUAUCAUAUGUUAUAGCAAUCUGUAAGCCGAUAAAAUGGUCCAUGACGUAGUUCGCAACCAUAGGUUAAUGCAUGAAACAUCUGAACGCGGGACGCGACCUCGGUCUGGUGCAGAAUAUGUGAGAGGAGCGGAGCAAGGAGUGAUUUUGUAAUUUUUUAUAAUUAUAAUAUUCGCAUGAAAAUCUGUCGCAAAUUGYAUGGAAAAGUAAUGUUUUGCAGCAAAAAACAACAGUAGGUUUCGUCUGCGCCUUGUUCUUAGUCCAAGGACUGUAUCAGUCAAAUUCAUAUUAAAUCUAGUAGUGACCCCCAUACUGUUAAAUUGCAUUCUCUAUUGCAAAACAAUGCUCAUAUGAAUUUAGAUAUGAGUAUCAAUGAAACUUGUAGUGAAUUUACAGAGUAAAUGGUAAAGUUAAAUUAUCUCUCCUUAGCUCGUGUAAUCCUGGAUCCCAACACUGCAGACACAGGUCUCAUCCUGUCCGAGGAUUUGACGAGCARGAGACACUGUGAUAAAGCACUACAGCUCCCUGACAACCCAGAGAGGCUUCAUGGAUGUGUCCUAGGUUCUGGGGGUUAUAACUCAGGAACACACAGCUGGGACGUAGAGAAUUCUGAUGGUUCCUAUUGGGCUGUAGGUGUGGCCACAAAUAAUCCCAAAAGAUCUAGUUGGUCUAGAUCUAGCAGUAUGCCAUAUAAAUCCUAUUUGGACUACCUGUGUUAGUCACUUCCUGGAAUUUCAUCUUGAAGUGAAUCACUUUCCCCGAAUAAUGAGAGUGUAUCUGGACUAGGACAAGGGAAAGCUGUCUUUCUUUGACCUUGAUGAAAACACAGAUACACACAAUCACACACACUUUCACACAGACAGUCUUCCCUAUACUUCGUCAUGAUAACACUUUGAGGAUCUUUCCAGUGAAGACCACUGUGACAGUGGGAAAACCAGUGGCGACCCGUCCUUCACAGUGUUUUGAGCCCCACCUGUUAUUUUUGCAUUAA